CACUGAGCAUGGAGCCCAAUGCUAGACUCAAUCCUGAGACUCGAGGAUCCUGACCUGAGCUGAAGGGAGUAACUUAACCAAUUGAGCCACCCAGGCACC